UACGUAGGGGGCAAGCGUUGUCCGGAUUUAUUGGGCGUAAAGAGCGUGUAGGCGGCCAUGCAGGUCCGUUGUGAAAACUGGAGGCUUAACCUCCAGACGUCGAUGGAAACCGUAUGGCUAGAGUCCGGAAGAGGAGAGUGGAAUUCCGUGGUGUAGCGGUGAAAUGCGCAGAUAUCAGGAAGAACACCGGUGGCGAAGGCGGGUCUCUGGGCAGUAACUGACGCUGAGGAGCGAAAGCGUGGGGAGCGAACAGG
rnacentral:rRNA from 1 species